rnacentral:rRNA from 1 species
GUUUGAUCCUGGCUCAGGACGAACGCUGGCGGCGUGCUUAACACAUGCAAGUCGAGCGGAAAGGCCACUUCGGUGGUACUCGAGCGGCGAACGGGUGAGUAACACGUGAGUAAUCUGCCCCUGGCUUUGGGAUAGCCACCGGAAACGGUGAUUAAUACCGGAUAUGACAGCUUCUCGCAUGAGAUGGUUGUGGAAAGUUUUUCGGCCAGGGAUGUGCUCGCGGCCUAUCAGCUUGAUGGUGAGGUAAUGGCUCACCAUGGCUUCGACGGGUAGCCGGCCUGAGAGGGUGACCGGCCACACUGGGACUGAGACACGGCCCAGACUCCUACGGGAGGCAGCAGUGGGGAAUAUUGGACAAUGGGCGGAAGCCUGAUCCAGCAACGCCGCGUGAGGGAUGACGGCCUUCGGGUUGUAAACCUCUUUCGGUGGGGACGAAGCGCAAGUGACGGUACCCACUAAAGAAGCACCGGCCAACUACGUGCCAGCAGCCGCGGUAAUACGUAGGGUGCGAGCGUUGUCCGGAAUUAUUGGGCGUAAAGGGCUCGUAGGCGGUUUGUCGCGUCGGGAGUGAAAACCAGGUGCUUAACACCUGGCUUGCUUUCGAUACGGGCAGACUAGAGGUAUUCAGGGGAGAACGGAAUUCCUGGUGUAGCGGUGAAAUGCGCAGAUAUCAGGAGGAACACCGGUGGCGAAGGCGGUUCUCUGGGAAUGACCUGACGCUGAGGAGCGAAAGUGU